rnacentral:tRNA from 1 species
GCUCUCGUGGCCCAGUUGGCUAGAGCGUCGUACUUAUAAGCAGUACCUGAGUAUAUGCGAAGGUCGAGGGUUCGAUCCCCUCCGAGAGCA